rnacentral:rRNA from 1 species
ACGAACGCUGGCGGCUGCUUAACACAUGCAAGUCGAACGGAGUGGCGAACGGGUGAGUAACGCGUGAGCAACCUGCCUAUGACAGUGGGAUAGCCUCGGGAAACCGGGAUUAAUACCGCAUAGUCAUAGAUGGGCUCGCGUCUGAUUAGUUAGUUGGUUGGGUAACGGCCUACCAAGACGACGAUCAGUAACCGGCCUGAGAGGGUGAACGGUCACAUUGGAACUGAGACACGGUCCAAACUCCUACGGGAGGCAGCAGUGGGGAAUCUUGCACAAUGGGGGGAACCCUGAUGCAGCGACACCGCGUGAGCGAUGAAGGUUUUCGAAUCGUAAAGCUCUGUCCUAUGGGAAGCGGUACCAUAGAAGAAAGCUCCGGCUAAAUACGUGCCAGCAGCCGCGGUAAUUC